rnacentral:lncRNA from 10 species
UUUGUUUGGUGUGAGUAUCCUGGGGCAGAGCCAAGCCUCCUCCUCUGCCCAACCCUCCCUGAUGCUGGGAGGGGAGAAUCAGUGAAUGUGCCAGGCAGACAGACAUGCCCUGGAAGUCUACUGGAAGACUGGAGAGCAGAGGGUAGCAAUCCACAGAACCCUUGUGCCCUGCUUGCUCCCUUUUCCCCACCACAGCUUCCCCUGGCUGCUCAGAGGAGGUCCAUGGACAAAGGCACUGUUGGACACAGGAGCAAAUAAGACAAAGUCCUUAUUAUAAUGGUACAAUUCUAAGUGGGGGAAAUAUACAGUGUGUCAGAUAGUGGUAAGUACCAUGGAGAAAAAUGUAGCUGGGUUGGGGGGAACAUAAAAGGGGGCAUUAGUUACCUAUUGCUGUGUAACAAAUCACCCCAUAAUUUAGCAGCUUAAAACAAAAACAUUUAUUUUCUCACAAUUCUGUGGGUCUGGAUGGUUCUGACUCAUUGUCCUCUAAGGUGUUGUAGUAAAAAGGUUGGCCAGGGAUGCAGUCAUCUGAAGGCUUGACUGGAACUGGAGGAUCUACUUCCAAAAUGGCUCACUUGCAUGGCCCUUGGCAGGGGGCCUGUUCCCCCCGCAAUAUGGGCCUCUCCAUAGGAUUGCUUGUAUGUCCUCUCAACAUGGCAGUUGGUUUCCCCCAGAAUGAUCCAAGAGAGACUCUUUAGACAGCAAUGCUUUUUAUGGCCUAGUCCUAGAAGUCACACACUGUUAUUUAUGCCACAUUAUUUGUGAAAGUACAUAAUUAAGUCUAGUCCACUCAAGGGGAAGGAAUUUAGGCUUCACCUCUUGAAGGACAGAGCAUCAAAAAUUUUGUGAAGGUAUUUCAAAUCACCAUGCAAGAGAUACUAUUAUAUAAGUGUUGAAGAACUCAGUGAGCAGGAAUUGAAGGAGGGGAGGAAGAGAGCUAUGACUACGUGGAUACCUAGGGACGAGCACUACGGUCAGAAUAGCAGGUACAAAUAUCCUGGGAUAGAAUUUUGCUUGAUGUGUUGGAAGAAAAGCAAGGAGGCCACUGGGUUGGAAUAGGGGGGCUGAAGGGGUGAGUGGUUGGAAUGUCUGAUCAGAGGAAACAUGGGCCUUGGAGUAGGCCCUUGUAAGGAGUGAAAGGACAGAAUGAGAUGGAAAGCCACUGGUUAGGUCUCAGCAGAGAGUGAAAGUCUGACUGGCUGCUGCGUGGAGAACCCUCCACACAAGAUGCAUGCGUGAAGAUCAGUUAGGGGGCCAUUGCAAUAGUCUAUAGGCAAGAGAUGAUGGUGUCUUAGACCAGGGUGGGGGCAGUGGAGGUGAGAAGGCAUGAUUAGAGUCUGGAUAUAUUCUGCAGAUAAAAACAGUAUUUGAUGAUGGAUUGGAUGUGGGACAUGAGAGAAACAGAUGUGUCCAAAAUGACUCUGGGCAGCUGGGUAAAUGGAGGUGCCCUUAAUUCACAGUAAAGACUACAGGAUGGUGGUGGUGUGGGGCUGGGAGAGAAUUCGGUUUGCUUUGGAUAUCUCAAGUCUGAGAUACCUAUUAGACAGCCAAGUGGAGAUGUUGAGUAGAGAUGAAGGCAGUAAGAUUUCCAACUCUGGUGCUCAGGGCAGAGAUUUAGGCUGAGACAAAAAUUUAGAAGUCAAGAUAUAUAGAUGGUAAAGUCACAGAAUCACCUGGGAAGGGGUGUAAACAGAAGAGGUUUGAGGACUAAGCCCAAGAAAGUCAGAGAAUGAGGAGAUAGGAAUCCAGUAGCUGGGUGCAGUGGCUCACACCUGUAAUCCCAGCACUUUGUAAGGCCAACAUGGGCGGAUUACUUGAGGUCAGGAGUUUGAGGCCAGCCUGGCCAACGUGGUGAAACUCUUGUCUCUACUAAAAAAAAAAAAAAAAAAAAUUCCAGUAAAGGAGGCAAUUAAGGAGGAGUAGUGUCCCAGAAACUAAGAGUGCCUUCAGAGUGAUUACCCUGUGUCAAAUGAAAGCUAAGAACUAUGAAACGACCAACGGAUUUAGCAGCAGAGAUUAGGAGGGGCCUGGGAGCCUAGUCCUUUGUGGACGUUUGGGAGGAAUGACAGGGCAAGCUGGGUCAUCCCUGACAUGUGGGCUCUGAGCCUAGAGGCAGAGCUGGGUUACAGAGUAGGAAUCCCCCAGGAGGCAUGGAUUUGCAACCUGGGGUGAGUGGAGAGGAGCCAGCCAGGGCCUACUAUGCCUGACACGGUGGUAUUGGGGGUGAAGAGUCGGUUUCAGGUUGGCCAACUUACCUGGACUCCACAUUCAGUCACAAAUUGACUUUUGAUGUUGUUUCUAAAUGCAGUUAUACAUAUAGUCUUUCGGAUUUGUGUUCUUUAGAAUGUUAAAAUAUCUAAUUUUUAUAACCAUGUUUCUUCCAUUUUUAAAAUACCAGGAAUCCUGAGAAGCAGGAGUGAUCUAUGCCUUACCCUCAGAACAGGGCCAGGACGAGGGUGAGGCAUGCUUGGUGUGUAAAAUGCAGAAGUUAAGGCAAGAGCAGGGUCUUUGGGAAUGAAUGCACUUUAGGCACCUCUCUUGCCUUACCUGAGUCCAGGCCCUACCUACCUCACAUACUGCCAGGUAGUGUGCCUUCCUUUCAUUGUGGGAGCCUCCACAUUAGUGGUGGGUCCUGGAGAAGGCAGACCAUAGACUGGAGGAUCUCCUGUUUUGGGUGGGGGCAGACACUACUCUGGGAGCCCAGAAAAAAAGCCAACUGAGAACUAUGCCUUUCAGCUAAAAAGUGGGUGCACACUGCCACCCUGUGGUCAGCCAGGGGAAGAUUCUUAGGACUGUUCCCAGGAUUGCACCGGCAGAGGUAAGACCAAGACACACUCCAGGUCACCCUGCCCUGAAUUUCUCAAAUUGUGGCAUUCGCAGCUGUGUUGGAAGAAAUCUUAUUGAACAUGUUGAUCUCUGGCAAUGGAGCUCAGUAGUCUGAGUUACUGACUCAAAGAGUGUCUUAGGUGAUUCUAAGGCACACUCAAGUAUAUAGUCCCUACUAGUCAAAAGCCACUGUCUUGUCAGGCAUGGUGGCUUGUUUCUGUUAUCUCAGCUACUCUGGAGACUGAGGAAGGAUCACUUGAGGCCAGGAGCUGGAGAUCAGCCGGGGCAACAUAGCAAGACCCCAUUUCUAAAAAAAAUUUAAAAAGCUAACCAGGCAUGGUGGCAUUUGCUACUCAUAAGGUCCCAGCUACUCAUAAGGCUAAGGCAGGAAAAUUGUUUGGGACCAUGAGUUCAAGGCUGCAGGGAGCUAUGAUCAUGUCACUGUGCCACUGCACUCCAGCCUGGGCAACAGAGGAGACCCCAUCUCUUAAAAAAAAAAAAAAAAAAUCUACCAUGAAUCACACAGCAAGAGAGAGAUCUUCCUGAGGUCCCCAGGGGUCAGAGGCUUUUUCCGGCUGCUCAGACACACAAAAAGAUGGAACAGAUCAACAAAUCUUUAUUAAUAGAAACAGACAGAUGGACAGAGAAUGCAGCAGGGGC